AAAUUUAGGACGUAUAAUCACUUUCUCAUUUUUGAGUGCAGGUUGGUUUUUGCGUCAUAUUGCGCUGCCGUGCAUUUGCCGUGAUGCAAAACGUCGCAAAAAAAUUGUUCAUCGAGUUGGUUAUACGACGUUGUGCAUCGUCACGAAAAUUUCUCGAGAAGUGAUAAAGUUUACAUGAAAACAAAACGAAACUGUCCACAGGAAUGAUACUAUCGAUUUGGCGAAACACUGCAAAUUGUUGUCAGAGGAAACCAAAACAAUUAAAAGCGAUGAAUGCUUUUAGACAUUCCUCGAACAGCCAGUGGAGUCACAGGUAUUGCCCGGUAAAGUCCUGGUGGAUUCCCAAUAGCCAUUUCCGCCACGCAGUAAUUCCAGAUUGCGCCAGAUGAAGAUUUGCGUGGAUUUAUUGGAUGAAAUUAUUUAUAAAUGUAUUUCUUUAAUCAACUCCGAAAGAAUUAUGGAAAAUUUGGGCGAAUCAAAUCAGUUUUUGCAAUCCAUCUUAUCGAUUGCCAAAAAGACGUUUACGCCAAACGAGAAAUGCAUUAAGUCACAGAUUUGUCCAACAAUAAUAAUAUGAGAAUUGAAAAUGUGAUUCGAAACUGAAACAUCG